rnacentral:rRNA from 1 species
AAUGAUACCCAGGUAGUCCACGCCGUAAACGAUGAGUGCUAAGUGUUAGAGGGUUUCCGCUCUUUAGUGCUGCAGCUAACGCAUUAAGCACUCCGCCUGGGGAGUACGGUCGCAAGACUGAAACUCAAAGGAAUUGACGGGGGCCCGCACAAGCGGUGGAGCAUGUGGUUUAAUUCGAAGCAACGCGAAGAACCUUACCAGGUCUUGACAUCCCACUGACCGGUAUAGAGAUAUACCUUUCCCUUCGGGGACAGUGGUGACAGGUGGUGCAUGGUUGUCGUCAGCUCGUGUCGUGAGAUGUUGGGUUAAGUCCCGCAACGAGCGCAACCCUUGAUCUUAGUUGCCAGCAUUUAGUUGGGCACUCUAAGGUGACUGCCUGUGACAAACCGGAGGAAGGUGGGGAUGGACGUCAAAUCAUCAUGCCCCGUUAUGACCUGGGCUACACACGUGCUACAAUGGAUGGUACAAAGGGCUGCAAGACUGCGAAGUCAAGCCAAAUCCCAUAAAACCCAUUCUCAGUUCGGAUUG